rnacentral:rRNA from 1 species
GUGCCAGCCGCCGCGGUAAUACGUAGGGUGCGAGCGUUAAUCGGAAUUACUGGGCGUAAAGCGUGCGCAGGCGGCUAUUUAAGCUUGCUGUGAAAGCCCCGGGCUUAACCUGGGAACCGCAGUGAGGACUGGAUGGCUAGAGUGUGGCAGAGGGGGGUGGAAUUCCACGUGUAGCAGUGAAAUGCGUAGAGAUGUGGAGGAACACCGAUGGCGAAGGCAGCCCCCUGGGCUAACACUGACGCUCAGGCACGAAAGCGUGGGGAGCAAACAGGAUUAGAUACCCUAGUAGUCC